UACGUAGGGUGCGAGCGUUGUCCGGAAUUAUUGGGCGUAAAGAGCUCGUAGGCGGUCUGUCGCGUCUGCUGUGAAAACUCGGGGCUUAACCCCGGGCCUGCAGUGGGUACGGGCAGACUAGAGUGCGGUAGGGGAGACUGGAAUUCCCGGUGUAGCGGUGAAAUGCGCAGAUAUCGGGAGGAACACCUGUGGCGAAAGCGGCGCACUGGACCACAACUGACGCUGAGGCGCGAAAGCUAGGGGAGCAAACAGG
rnacentral:rRNA from 1 species